rnacentral:rRNA from 1 species
AGUAACGCGUGGGUAACCUGCCUCAUACAGGGGGAUAACGAUUGGAAACGAUUGCUAAUACCGCAUAAGCGCACAGUACCACAUGGUACAGUGUGAAAAACUCUGGUGGUAUGAGAUGGACCCGCGUCUGAUUAGUUAGUUGGUGAGGUAACGGCCCACCAAGGCAACGAUCAGUAGCCGACCUGAGAGGGUGACCGGCCACAUUGGGACUGAGACACGGCCCAG